rnacentral:rRNA from 1 species
UACGUAGGGGGCGAGCGUUGUCCGGAAUCAUUGGGCGUAAAGCGCGUGUAGGCGGCUCGGUAAGUCCGGUGUGAAACCUUGGGGCUCAACCCCAAGCCUGCACUGGAUACUGUCGAGCUUGAGUCCGGGAGGGGAGAGCGGAAUUCCUAGUGUAGCGGUGAAAUGCGCAGAUAUUAGGAAGAACACCGGUGGCGGAGGCGGCUCUCUGGAACGGUACUGACGCUGAGACGCGAAAGCGUGGGGAGCGAACAGG